rnacentral:ncRNA from 1 species
UGCUAAGCGUGGUAACGCCAGCGAGCUCGGAGACAUUAGCUUGAGUUCCGGGAAGAGUUUUCUUUUCUUUGUUAGCAGUGCUCACCACCCCUGGAAUUGGGUUGCCCAGAGGUAGAGGUAUCGCCUCCGUAAAGCACCACCCCUUUUUUGGUGUCCGGAACACUCUGGUCGGUGCUUGAAAAUCCGAGGGAGGCAUUCUGAUUUUCGUAGCAGGCCCUACCCAUAUCUGCAUCAGGUCUCCAAGGUGAACAGCCUCUGGCAAUAGAAUAAUGUGGGUAAGGGAAGUCAGCAUAUUUUAUCCGUAACUUCGGAAAAAGGAUUGGCUCUGAGGGACGAGUCAGACCCGCUGGGCAAAGAAACGUGUCUGCUCAGCCUGCCGCUGGCUAGUCGGCUAGCUGGACUGUGGCUGAAACUGCUGCUGCUGGGUUUAGGCCGCUGCUUCCGCUGUGUGCGUGUGUGUGUUCUCUGUGCGCGCCGCGUUACCUGUGUGGCGUUGUCAGGCCACUGACCGCGUAGCACGCUGCGCACGUAUGCGCGCGUUUGCGUGCAUGCAUUAGGUUGUGGUGGCUGACUCAGCGGCGUGGUGUGACCUUGACCAGUGGGCUAACUGACUGGAAGUGGGCAGAGUGGAUCAUGGGCAGGUCCAGUUAUGCCUGUCCCUUGGUUUCCGCUUGUUGUUGCCGUUGCUUUUGUCGUGGUUUCGGCCACGAUUGUGGUUGCA